CAGCAGCCGCGGGAAAACGGAGGGAGCGAGCGUUGUUCGGAAUUACUGGGCGUAAAGGGUGCGCAGGCGGCUUUGUAAGUUGGGAGUGAAAUCCCUGGGCUUAACCCAGGAAUUGCCUUCAAAACUACAAGGCUAGAGUCUCGGAGAGGUUAGCGGAAUUCCCAGUGUAGAGGUGAAAUUCGUAGAUAUUGGGAGGAACACCAGUGGCGUAAGCGGCUAACUAGACGAGUACUGACGCUCAGGCACGAAAGCGUGGGGAUCAAACAGGAUUAGAUACCCGAGUAGUCCCUGUCUCUUAUAC
rnacentral:rRNA from 1 species